UAAGGAAUAUUGGUCAAUGGGCGGAAGCCUGAACCAGCCACGCCGCGUGCAGGAAGAAGGCCCUACGGGUUGUAAACUGCUUUUAUACGGGAAGAACCGCCCUCCUGCGGGGGGGUAUGACGGUACCGUAGGAAUAAGCAUCGGCUAACUCCGUGCCAGCAGCCGCGGUAAUACGGAGGAUGCAAGCGUUAUCCGGAUUCAUUGGGUUUAAAGGGUGCGUAGGUGGGUCCAUAAGUCAGUGGUGAAAUCC
rnacentral:rRNA from 1 species